rnacentral:lncRNA from 12 species
CCCCCCCCCCCCCCCCAAAAAAAGAAAAAAAAAAAAAAAAAAAAAAAAAAAAAAAAAAGGAAGAAUCAGAUGGUGCUUUAUUAUACAAGCAUGAAAGUAAGUUCCUUUGGAAAACAACUUCUUGGGUGGACUUCUGGACCAGUGAGGUAGUCCAAUGGGAGAGAAAAAAAAGUGGAAGUGGAACUUGGUCCCCACGCGUGAUACCUGCCAGGCGGUCCCAGCCCGGGGCGAGGCCGGGACCCGGCAGACCGCCCCCCAUGCGGAGGGGGGCCCGGCGCCGCCCGAGCGGGCCAUAAAGUGCAGCAGCAGAACACGAUCCAGACAAAAGCAAUGUAAACAGGUGACUGAUACCGGUCUCUUUGUCCGCACCGCGGCCAAGGUGAGGCGCGGGGAGCGGAGCCCCGCGGGCUCAGGACGGUGCCACGGGGAAGCGGCGCACCCGCACCACGGGGGACAGGUCCACGCCGAGGAUCCGCUGCGCCCGCCGCCGCGCCGCCGCCAGGCUCCGCUGGCUCCACAUGCUGCCCCGCACACGGAUGGUGGGGAACGUGGUGAGGCGGGGGGUGGCCGCCUUCCAGAUCUCCUCCAGCGACUUGCCGCCGAACGGCUCCCAGGCGGCCCCCCCCCCCCCCCCCCCCCCCCCCCCCCCCCCCCCCCCCCCCCCCCCCCCCCCCCCCCCCCCCCCCCCC